UCCGGUUUGUCACCGGCGGUCUCCUUAGAGUUCCCACCAUUACGUGCUGGCAACUAAGGACAAGGGUUGCGCUCGUUGCGGGACUUAACCCAACAUCUCACGACACGAGCUGACGACAGCCAUGCAGCACCUGUGUUCCGGUUCCCGAAGGCACCCCCCGAUCUCUCAGGGGUUCCGGACAUGUCAAGGCCAGGUAAGGUUCUUCGCGUUGCAUCGAAUUAAACCACAUACUCCACCGCUUGUGCGGGCCCCCGUCAAUUCCUUUGAGUUUCAGUCUUGCGACCGUACUCCCCAGGCGGCGAACUUAACGCGUUAGCUUCGAUACUGAGUGCCUAGUUGCACCCAACAUCCAGUUCGCAUCGUUUAGGGCGUGGACUAC
rnacentral:misc_RNA from 1 species